CAGACUCGGCCUUGGAAUCGGU
rnacentral:miRNA from 1 species